AUGGCGAAGCGGCUGCGCGAGGCGGCGCCUUGGGAGGAGGCGCCGGGGUCGCCGGUGAACGGCCUGGACGACGGCUGCCUCAUGCAUAUCUUCAGCUUCCUCAGCCCGAUCCCAGAUAGGUAUAACACCGCCCUCGUUUGCCACAGAUGGCGCUUCCUGGCAUGCCAUCCUCGGUUAUGGUUGCGUGUUGAGAGGCCACUCAGAAAUGUAAAGGAGCCUGGAGUUUAUCCAAAUCUCGAGGCUGCUAUUUCUGCUGCUAGGCCCGGUGACACUAUUCUAAUUGCUGCCGGUGGCACCUAUCUUGCAUGUAAUAUCCAAAUAAAGAAGCCCCUUUGCAUUAUUGGCGGGGGUGAGCUUCCUGAUGACACUGUAUUGACAUGUUCCCGUGGCUCCGACAAUGCACUGGAGUUCCUUUCCACGUGCAAGAUCGCCAAUCUUACUAUCAAGGCGGAGCUCGGAUGCUGCCUGCUUCACCGAAGCGGCAAGCUAACUAUUCAGGAGUGCUUGCUCCAGUGCGAGCCAAACCCUCUGGACUACCUGUCCUUCCCGAUAGUCAGCACGGCGAUCGAAUACAAUCCAUUAUCAUCGUCGCUCAAGGAGCAGCAGGGGCACGGCGUGACGGUCGUCCGCACCCGGAUCGAAGGCGGCGCCAAGGCGGUCCGGACCAACGGGACCCUGGCGCUGCAGCGCGUGCGGGCCAUCUACGCCCGCAGGUCCGUCUUCUUCUGGUUCGAGGUAGGGGAGAAGCUGGAACCCCUGUGA
rnacentral:rRNA from 1 species